GGGGCUGUAGCUCAGCUGGAUAGAGCGUAGGUUUCCUAAACCUUAGGUCGGGAGUUCGAACCUCCCCAGCCCCACCA
rnacentral:tRNA from 1 species